UUGGCGAAAUUUUGGUGGGGCAGCAAAAGGGGUGCGCGGAAGAUGGCAUGGGUCUCGUGUAAGACCAUGUGCAAGCCCGAAUUUAUGCAUGGAGGGGCCUUCCGGGGCAUUCAACUUUUGAACCUUACUUUGUUGGCUCGUCGGGCUUGGAGGCUAUUACAGGACCCGGACUCUCUCAGCGCUCAUGUUCCGAAGGAAAGAUAUUAUCCAUGAUGUGAUAUUCUCAGUGCAACAUUGGGCGACCAUCCACCUCGGGUAUGGCGAUCAAUCAUGGAGGGCAAGGAGAUUUUGUCGUUCGGAUUGAUCAAGCGAGGUAGUUCAGGCACUGAAACUAGCAUCUGGCAUGAUAAUUGGUUGCCUCGUGACUAUGAGCUACAUCCAAUUUGUGUAAGGUCAGCUAACCCACCCUAG
rnacentral:rRNA from 1 species